CCUCCUUAAAAAUAUUCUAUUUCCGCCAUUGUUUCCCAAAUCUCAAACCUAAACAUCCCCAUUUCAUUUUACUCCAAAUCAGUCCAUUUUGCCCCUCAUUUUAGCAGUUUAGUCAACUUAAUUGAUGGCAAAGGGUGCAUUUAAUUGUCUAAGUUGAAGUUGAGGGUGCAUUUAAUAUAAAUUUUAAUUUAGGGUGCAAAUUGAUUUUUCA
rnacentral:lncRNA from 1 species